GGCUGGGGUCUGAACCCGGGCUCUGAGGCUCCUUCUUAAUCUUCACUGGCGGGCUGUGGAAUGCCACCGCUGCGACACAGACAAACAGGCGCGGACCUGACGGAACAGGCACGACUGAAAGCAAAGCUCAGGUGGUUCUGAUGGAAACCUGUUUACCCACCCGAGGUUAAGGAAUGAAGUUGAGACUGCUGUGCCAACAAUGCUGCUCCUGCCAGAUGUGAUGGAAACCUGGCGUGUUUGCACCAAGAAUGUCAAGAACUCACAAGAGACUUUAUCACAGACUGGACUGAAUAAUGAAGAACUCCAAUUAUUUUUGCUAGUUCAUUUUAGUUUUACUUUUAGUUCAUUUUAAUUUGUGUGUGUAUGAUAUUGUGUAAAUCUUAUUUAUUCAAAUUAUUCUCCAGGCCACCCAAGAAGGAUGGUCCCUGUUGAGUUUGGUUCCUGUCAAGGUUUCUUCCUGUAAUUUUAAGGGAGUUUUUCCUUGCCACUGUCUCGCUCGGCUUGCUCAACAGGGGUUUUGGUCUGUUGGUCCUGGAUUCUGUAAAGUUGCUUUGAGACAGUGUCUAUUGUAAAAAGCGCUAUAUAAAUAAAAUUGACUUGACUUGA